rnacentral:lncRNA from 1 species
UCAGUAUAUUUUUCUGUGUAAGAAGAUAUGACAUGUUUAACAAUGUCUUACAUUUUCUGUGUAAGAAGGAUUAACAAAUUUUUUUUGGAACUUCAGAAGUGUUAGCCAAUUUAUUAACUUUUUCUUCUUUGAGAAGUCAAGGAAGUCCCAUUCUAAUCCCUAAGGGUUAUAUUUUGAAUGGAUAUUUAUUUUAUUGUGAUGGGCCUUUUUCUUUUUUCAAAUCAAGUCAUACUUUUCAGCUUAGCUGGUUUCUAGCAUGAUAAUAGCUAGAGGGACUCAUUUUAAAGACCUUGGUGAAAAGAACCUUGAAAUGGAUUAACCACUAUUCACAACUCUUCAACUGCUUUUUAAAAAACUUUAUUUUUUAACAAUGAAAGGCUUCUCUUGUAAUUGGACAGGCACAAGACCUCACUAAGGGUGAAACCAAUUGGUGGUUUCAGAGGCCUGGCCAGAGUAUUAUCACCUGACUUGACUGGCGAGGUGAAAUCCAACCAAGAACUGGACCUCUUAAGCCAAAAGCUGACUCUUUGCUAUAUCUGUAUUCCAUUUUGAUAACUGUGAUAAAAUUACCAAUAGGUGGAGCUGCUGAAACUUGAAAACAGAUUCUAACUACUAGCUUUUGAAUUUAGAAAAGGACUGGGUACUCUUUUUUUUUUUUAAUGUAAAUUGUUGGGGUCAGGAGAGGCUUCACAUCCUCCUUCUGGGGAGAGAGAGGGGAAUCAACAAAAGGUGUCAACAGCAGCAGAAAGAGAUUCUUUGGAGGUCAGGAACUCAUAGGAACGGUGAGUGGAGACAACACAGAAGAACCAAGAGUGCUGAUCUUUAUCACUGUCCCCUGAAAGAGGUAAGACAUGAAAAGCAGAUGAAAAGCCUGAGAAAAAACAUAGUUGGAGGAAGAGGUUGUUCCAAAGCUCUCACCAGAGAGUGUUGGUGGAGGUGAGGAAACUGAGGCAGAGAGAGGUAAUUUGUCCAGAGUCACAAAGCUAGAACCUAAGGCAGGAUUGGAACUCAGGUGCCAGCAAAUAUGUAAGUGCUUAAAAAGUGUUGCUCAUUGUGGAUUCCAACCCCAGCAUCUCACUACAAAGACUUCUAUGGCAUCAAAGCUGCAUGUUGGAGGGAACAAACUCAAAAGGGGGUCAUGAGGACCUGGGCUUAAUGUCAAGGUCUUCUUUACUCUUCAAUACCUAUCUUGGGCAAGUCCCUCCCACUCAUUCUGAGACUCAGUAUGUCUAUCUGUAAAACUCAAGGGUUACUCUAGAAUCUAGACCAUUUAGAUAUUUGUGUUAGCAAUUCUAGGAUCCUUGAACCUGAGGUUGCGAUAUCACAAGGGAAGGGAACAAAGUCCUGUGAAGGAACGAUGUCUUUUUCUAGCAGGGAGCCCCUGGAUCCCAUUGAAGACCUCAUCCCCCGCCUACCCCUCUUAGCCCCCCAGCCAUGAAACCGUUGGGGGUCAAAGGCUAAGAGUAGUUUUCCUUCUCAGUAUGUCCAUCAUUUCCUCUUAAGGUCCAGCCCUGGGAUCUCCUCCCCAUCACUGGGUCACUCCCUUCUCCUCCCCCUCCCUGGGGUUGGUGUGUGUCUGUGUGUGUGUAGUGGGGGUGGGGUUAGGGGACCUCUGAGGUUGCCAGACAGUU